ensembl:lncRNA
UGCUUAGUAUUGUGCAUCAUCACCUUGAACGUUUCAUUGCUGUCACUAAGCUAUCACUAGCUAGCUAGUUACUUUGCUAGUUUGCUACGUAUUACUAACAAACGUAACUUCACUGAUAACCUACAUGGAUGUAAAUGUCAAAAGACCAGUAGUUCGGAUAACGUAUGCAUGCUAGUUAUGAAAAGUACAGUUGCUCUCUACUCUACAUUCAUUAUAACUAGCAGGCUCAUACACACACAGUAACCAUUAUGCUGAUAGUUGUGUUGACGUGGUGUUCACCCUUCUGUACAGUUCUCAUCUAGGAAUAUACUAAAAUAUGUUUUUUUUUUUUUUUUAAUUGGCCAUGGCCAGAUGCACUCAGGAAAUUUUUGCAGAGGCCGUAAUAUAUAAUGUGAUGUGAUUAUAUAUAACUUUUAUAAUCACAUCACAUUAAUACUACUUAUUGUAAUCAGUAGUAUUAUUUAGCCUUGUAGCAGCCUAAUAGAUUAGUAAUAAUAGUAGUGGUGGUAGAACUUGUAAUUUAUCUACUACAAGUUACAUGGUCAGAGAUAAAAUGUAUUUGUACAAUGCAACUAUGUGGUAGGAUGAUAGAAAUGACCAAUGCAAUUGUGUAACAAACAGCAUGGAUGUGUUUAAAUACAUACAGCUGCAGGAGUAGGGACAUCCAGUAGUGGUACUCCAGGGACCAGUGACACACAGGCCAGGAACACACAGCCUGCAUCAAGUGAGUCUAUUUAAUAGUAUUUAUUCAAGCCACAUCCAUACUUUAAAGAACAACAGAAAAAGGUUAGCAUGUAUUAAAAUACAAUAGCUUGUUUUCUUAAAGAAGUUCAACCACAUUCAUCAUUUCACUCACUGCUUGUCUGGCUAUACAAUAUGCUUGUAUACAGGUGAAGGUGAAGGGACACCCAGGACCACAUCAAGCACUCAGGGCACCAGUGAAAGACAGACGACUGAGACCAGGGACACGCAGCCUGAAUGAAGUUAGCCCUUUGAAUAGCUAAUUCAAGCUUACAACCAUCUGACAAUAUGUACUAGAAGAUAAUGAAAACACAUGGAAAUCACAAUAACAUCCCAUCCCUAUGAAUUUAAUUUCAAUCACAGUUUUAGUAAUUUUCACUAAUUUAAUUUAACACCACUGAUCUGGCUGUUGCAGGUGAAGGGGCCACAUUUAGCAUUCCAGGCCCCAGUGAAACACAGACCACUGAGACCAGGGAUACUCAGCCUGAAGCAAGUAAGACCC